GACGAACGCUGGCGGCGUGCUUAACACAUGCAAGUCGAGCGGUAAGGCCCUUUCGGGGGUACACGAGCGGCGAACGGGUGAGUAACACGUGGGUGACCUGCCCUCAGCUCUGGGAUAAGCCUGGGGAAACCGGGUCUAAUACUGGAUAUGACUCCAUGACGCAUGUUGUGGGGUGGAAAGCCUUGUGCGGCUGAGGAUGGGCCCGCGGCCUAUCAGCUUGUUGGUGGGGUGANGGCCUACCAAGGCGACGACGGGUAGCCGGCCUGAGAGGGCGACCGGCCACACUGGGACUGGAGACAC
rnacentral:rRNA from 1 species